CUGAGAGGAUGACCAGCCACACUGGAACUGAGACACGGUCCAGACUCCUACGGGAGGCAGCAGUGGGGAAUAUUGCACAAUGGGCGCAAGCCUGAUGCAGCCAUGCCGCGUGUAUGAAGAAGGCCUUCGGGUUGUAAAGUACUUUCAGCGGGGAGGAAGGGAGUAAAGUUAAUACCUUUGCUCAUUGACGUUACCCGCAGAAGAAGCACCGGCUAACUCCGUGCCAGCAGCCGCGGUAAUACGGAGGGUGCAAGCGUUAAUCGGAAUUACUGGGCGUAAAGCGCACGCAGGCGGUUUGUUAAGUCAGAUGUGAAAUCCCCGGGCUCAACCUGGGAACUGCAUCUGAUACUGGCAAGCUUGAGUCUCGUAGAGGGGGGUAGAAUUCCAGGUGUAGCGGUGAAAUGCGUAGAGAUCUGGAGGAAUACCGGUGGCGAAGGCGGCCCCCUGGACGAAGACUGACGCUCAGGUGCGAAAGCGUGGGGA
rnacentral:rRNA from 1 species